rnacentral:piRNA from 1 species
UAACGUAGAAUCAGUGGAAGGCUUGAGCU